AUUGAACGCUGGCGGCGGGCCUAACACAUGCAAGUCGAGCGGAUGAAGGGAGCUUGCUCCUGGAUUCAGCGGCGGACGGGUGAGUAAUGCCUAGGAAUCUGCCUGGUAGUGGGGGAUAACGUCCGGAAACGGGCGCUAAUACCGCAUACGUCCCGAGGGAGAAAGUGGGGGAUCUUCGGACCUCACGCUAUCAGAUGAGCCUAGGUCGGAUUAGCUAGUUGGUGGGGUAAAGGCCUACCAAGGCGACGAUCCGUAACUGGUCUGAGAGGAUGAUCAGUCACACUGGAACUGAGACACGGUCCAGACUCCUACGGGAGGCAGCAGUGGGGAAUAUUGGACAAUGGGCGAAAGCCUGAUCCAGCCAUGCCGCGUGUGUGAAGAAGGUCUUCGGAUUGUAAAGCACUUUAAGUUGGGAGGAAGGGCAGUAAGUUAAUACCUUGCUGUUUUGACGUUACCAACAGAAUAAGCACCGGCUAACUUCGUG
rnacentral:rRNA from 1 species